rnacentral:rRNA from 1 species
AGUGAACGCUGGCGGUAGGCCUAACACAUGCAAGUCGAACGGCAGCACAGUAAGAGCUUGCUCUUACGGGUGGCGAGUGGCGGACGGGUGAGGAAUACAUCGGAAUCUACUUUUUCGUGGGGGAUAACGUAGGGAAACUUACGCUAAUACCGCAUACGACCUACGGGUGAAAGCAGGGGAUCUUCGGACCUUGCGCGAUUGAAUGAGCCGAUGUCGGAUUAGCUAGUUGGCGGGGUAAAGGCCCACCAAGGCGACGAUCCGUAGCUGGUCUGAGAGGAUGAUCAGCCACACCGGAACGGAGCCAGGGACCAGACUCCUACGGGAGGCAGCAGUGGGGAAUAUUGGACAAUGGGCGCAAGCCUGAUACAGCCAUACCGCGUGGGUGAAGAAGGCCUUCGGGUUGUAAAGCCCUUUUGUUGGGAAAGAAAAGCAGCAGGUUAAUACCCCGCUGUUCUGACGGUACCCAAAGAAUAAGCACCGGCUAACUUCGUG